rnacentral:rRNA from 1 species
UACGUAGGGUGCGAGCGUUGUCCGGAAUUAUUGGGCGUAAAGAGCUUGUAGGCGGUUUGUCGCGUCUGCUGUGAAAAUCCGGGGCUCAACCCCGGACUUGCAGUGGGUACGGGCAGACUAGAGUGUGGUAGGGGAGACUGGAAUUCCUGGUGUAGCGGUGAAAUGCGCAGAUAUCAGGAGGAAGACCAGUGGCGAAGGCGGGUCUCUGGACAGUUCCUGACACUGAGGCACGAAGGCCAGGGGAGCAAACGGG